GUAAGGUGAAGCACAUUGUGAAGUUGUUCGGUUUUCCAUCCAGCCACGACGUUGGUGAUAGCAUCUCAGAGCCAGGAAUUGCUUCCCUGUGGGCCUGGGCUGGCACUUCUGGAUGCUACUUAUGCUGAAGCCAAGCCCAUGGGGACACCCCACUGUUGCCCAAGUGGCUCUCACAGGUCUGGAUGAAGAUGGAAGCUACAUCAUGUUCAAGUUCCAGCAGCCGUCCCAUUCUGGCUUUGAGGAACUCCGAGAACUUGCAGCUCAUGGACAAUCGGUAGCCUUCGACUUGAAGAAACUCCCAAGCCGGGGAGCAGACAGCAAUCUCGCCCCAAGGGAGCUUCUGGUUUGAUAGUGGAGACGCUGAAAACACUAGCCUAAAGGGGACUCCUCGCUCCUCUUGCCACAUACACAGAUGGCAAUGCACAUCCACGGAGCUCCUGCCCACUGAGCAGGAAGGAUGAAGAGAGCCUCCUCUAAACACAGAAUGCCCUGAACCACCAUGGUACCACAAACCAUUCCUGGAGACAUCAUCUCAUCUCAGCCCCAGCCUUUCCCUCCCCUGGACUGACCUUGAGGCCAUCUAGGUAAAGCGAUGCCCUUAUCUCUAGGCAACCAUAUCCUGGAAGAAACCACCUGGACCACGGGACACUUUUGUGCCUCUGAGAUCGGAAGUGGAAUGAAGGAGGCCUAUUCGGAAAGCGACCUGUGGCCUGGGGAGAUGGUUUCAUGGGUAAAAUGUCCACUGGGCAAGCACAAGGAGCUGGGGUCAGAUGCCCAGCACUCGCAGGGGAUAGAGGCAGAUGAAUCUCCAGGACUUAGUGGCCAGCCUGGCCAAAGCAGGGUGCUUCAGGUUCAAUGAGAGACCUUGUUUCACAAACACGUAUUUCUGUGCUAUGUGUCAUCCUAAGAUGCCUCUAACAUCACGCCA
rnacentral:lncRNA from 1 species